CAUUGACGUCACAAUAUUACGUAAUCGAUUUUGCUGGACGGCAGAAGUACACAUUCGUACAUAGGAAUUAUAUGCAGACGAAGACAACUUUGACCAUAAAAUACCAAAGAAACACGUAGUUCUUGUAUUUUUUUUAAACGGGAUAUGUACCUGGCGUUAUCAGGCUAGGUUGGCCACGGUGGAUGUGUUCAAAUCAUAGAUUUAUUCAAAUGUAUUCUGCUCCACUAGAUGGCAUAACGGGGACGGGCGGUACGACAAACUGGGAGAAGAAGAGAAAGUUGUUGCUUGCUUCCAGCCAUGAACUUACUCUGCCUGCGAUAUAUUUUUUUAUCCCGUGUUUAUUUUCUUCAGUAAAGUUGUGAACUUAAACCAAACCUCUGCAUUGGCAAAAUAAGCACAUUUAUGCACCGUUUCUUCAUUGGUGGCUGGGCACCGCGGCUGCAUCCUCUUCUUCGUGGCAUGGCACAGUAAUUGCAGGUUCAUCAGUCAGGUGGUCAGCACCCAAACUAAAACAUGAGUCAUGGUGGCCAGGAUGACGUCCAAGAAUAGCAUCCCAGCAGCACAGAUGGGGGAGCCAACAUGAAGAGGUGUCCAGAGAGGCUUCUUCCUCUUUGGCUUUGCAGCAGCACCAGGACCUCACCAUCAGUGAUGCUGUUCCCCUCAUCCAUCGGGCCUACCCUUACAUUCCUCCCCUGAUGCACUGAUCACCUGUACCAGUUGUUGGAGUUUUCAGAAGGGCUCUAAAUUAACUUUUGACGUUUAUUCACUAGUAGCCAAAAUGGCUAGUAUGUUAAUCUCCAAACAUACCGGUACAUUAAAUAAUGGGUCAAAGUGCCAAGUAUGUUUUCUUUUCUACCAGCAAAAAAAUUCCCAGCAUUUGGCUGGUUGGCUGGUGAGCCCUGGUUGUCAUUGAUGGUGAGUAGCUGUGAUAAUAAAUAACUGAAAUGAUGAAGUCCAUCCAGACAUGUCUUGCUUAUUUUAUUGUACUAAUACAACAACGUAGAACAUUUUCUGUGAAAGCCCAACUGGGAAACUCCAACUCCCAUUGACAUUGUGACACAGCA